AGCGUAGAUGGAAUGGCAAGUCUGAUGUGAAAGGCCGGGGCUCAACCCCGGGACUGCAUUGGAAACUGUCAAUCUAGAGUACCGGAGGGGUAAGUGGAAUUCCUAGUGUAGCGGUGAAAUGCGUAGAUAUUAGGAGGAACACCAGUGGCGAAGGCGGCUUACUGGACGGUAACUGACGUUGAGGCUCGAAAGCGUGGGGAGCAAACAA
rnacentral:rRNA from 1 species